CUAUACAUGACUCUGCGCAUAUCAAUAAGCGGAGGAAAAGAAACUAACAAGGAUUCCCCUAGUAACGGCGAGUGAAGCGGGAAGAGCUCAAAUUUGAAAUCUUAAAGGGUUUCCCUUUACGAAUUGUAGUUUAAAGAAGUGUUUUCUGUUGAGGUUUUGGUAAAAGUUCUUUGGAAUAGGACAUCAUAGAGGGUGAGAAUCCCGUAUUUGACCUUUACUUUCAACUUUGUGAUACACUUUCAAAGAGUCGGAUUGUUUGGGAAUGCAGUCCAAAAUGGGUGGUAAAUUUCAUCUAAAGCUAAAUAUUGGACGAGAGACCGAUAGCGAACAAGUACCGUGAGGGAAAGAUGAAAAGAACUUUGAAAAGAGAGUUAAACAGUACGUGAAAUUGUCAAAAGGGAAGCGUUUGACACCAGUGUUGUUUUUCUGAAAAUCAAUUAAAGAACUGUUUAUGCUAAGCUGUUUAGACUUUAUCAGCUAACUGUUUAGUUUUGAGCUUUUCUUUAAUGCACUUUUCAGUUAACAAGUCAACAUCAAUUUCUUUUGCUGUAAAAAAGCUUGAGGAAGGUGGCUUGAGAUUCGUCUUAAGUGUUUAUAGCCUCUUGCCUAUGCAGUCGGAGAGAUUGAGGUCUGCAGCGUAGAUCCUUCGGGGCUAAAUGCAUUUGUGCUAAGUUAUAGCAUUUUAUAGACAACUUGUUGACUAUGGAUUUGUCUUGUAGCUUACUCGCUUACGUUAUUUUACCUACGCUUAGGAUGUUGAUCUACAGAGCGAGAGU
rnacentral:rRNA from 1 species